CCGUCACACCAUGGGAGUGGGUUGCAAAAGAAGUAGGUAGCUUAACCUUCGGGAGGGCGCUUACCACUUUGUGAUUCAUGACUGGGGUGAAGUCGUAACAAGGUAACCGUAGGGGAACCUGCGGUUGGAUCACCUCCUUACCUUAAAG
rnacentral:rRNA from 1 species